GUAGUACUCCCUCCGUUCGAAAAUACUUGUCAUCAAAAUGGAUAAAAAAAGAUGUAUCUAGAACUAAAAUAUGUCUAGAUACAUUCCCUUUUAUCCAUUUUGAUGACAAGUAUUUUCGGACGGAGGUAGUAUAUA
rnacentral:pre_miRNA from 1 species